AUUGAACGCUGGCGGCAUGCUUUACACAUGCAAGUCGAACGGUAACAGGUUAAGCUGACGAGUGGCGAACGGGUGAGUAAUGCAUCGGAACGUGCCCGGUCGUGGGGGAUAACGCAGCGAAAGCUGCGUUAAUACCGCAUACGAUCUGAGGAUGAAAGCGGGGGACCGUAAGGCCUCGCGCGAUCGGAGCGGCCGAUGUCAGAUUAGGUAGUUGGUGGGGUAAAGGCUCACCAAGCCAACGAUCUGUAGCUGGUCUGAGAGGACGACCAGCCACACUGGGACUGAGACACGGCCCAGACUCCUACGGGAGGAAGCAGUGGGGAAUUUUGGACAAUGGGCGAAAGCCUGAUCCAGCAAUGCCGCGUGCAGGAAGAAGGCCUUCGGGUUGUAAACUGCUUUUGUGCGGAGCGAAAAGGUCUCCUCUAAUACAGGGGGCUCAUGACGGUACCGUAAGAAUAAGCACCGGCUAACUACGUGCCAGCAGCCGCGGUAA
rnacentral:rRNA from 1 species